rnacentral:rRNA from 1 species
ACGAACGCUGGCGGCGUGCCUAAUACAUGCAAGUCGAACGCUUCUUUCCUCCCGAGUGCUUGCACUCAAUUGGAAAGAGGAGUGGCGGACGGGUGAGUAACACGUGGGUAACCUACCCAUCAGAGGGGGAUAACACUUGGAAACAGGUGCUAAUACCGCAUAACAGUUUAUGCCGCAUGGCAUAAGAGUGAAAGGCGCUUUCGGGUGUCGCUGAUGGAUGGACCCGCGGUGCAUUAGCUAGUUGGUGAGGUAACGGCUCACCAAGGCCACGAUGCAUAGCCGACCUGAGAGGGUGAUCGGCCACACUGGGACUGAGACACGGCCCAGACUCCUACGGGAGGCAGCAGUAGGGAAUCUUCGGCAAUGGACGAAAGUCUGACCGAGCAACGCCGCGUGAGUGAAGAAGGUUUUCGGAUCGUAAAACUCUGUUGUUAGAGAAGAACAAGGACGUUAGUAACUGAACGUCCCCUGACGGUAUCUAACCAGAAAGCCACGGCUAACUACGU